AUAGCGUAUAUUAAAGUUGUUGCAGUUAAAAAGCUCGUAGUUGAAAUUGGGCGCGGCUGGCCGGUCCGCCUCACGGUGUGUACUGUCUGGGCGUGUUCUCUUUCUUGGUGAGCCGGCAUGCCCUUCACUGGGUGUGUUGGGGAACCAGGACGUUUACCUUGAGAAAAUUAGAGUGUUCAAAGCAGGCCUACGCCCGAAUACAUUAGCAUGGCAUAAUAAAAUAGGACGUGCGGUUCUAUUUUGUUGGUUUCUAGAGUCGCCGUAAUGAUUAAUAGGGAUAGUUGGGGGCAUUAGUAUUUCGUUGCUAGAGGUGAAAUUCUUGGAUUUA
rnacentral:rRNA from 1 species